ensembl:lncRNA
UGCUGAUCCGCAUCUGCACUUCUAUAUCAUGAUGGCCAGGGGCUCAACCGCAUCACACUGAGGGAGAUUAUCAGCCAUGAUAAAGCUGUGGUCCUUUUGAAAGCGGCACCGUGGCUUGGCUGACAUUUGACAAACCUGUGUGGAGUUGACAGCAUUGGUCUGUGGUCUACCUUAUUUGAAGCAAGGCUGCUUACAGCACAAAAAAAGGUUUGAGUUACUGUUUUGAGAAACACCGCCACGUUAACUGCAGGGCCCAGAGAACGAGAGCUGAUCUAGAGAGGCAUGAUCUCCACCUCCUCUGCCUUCAAAUCAAACUUGCCAAGGUUGCUUGUUAGUAAAAUGUCCAUAAUUAAG